GUUGAAGAGAUGUACAAAGAAGAGAUUGGGGAUGCAGAGAUGGACUCUAAUUCUCCUUCUGAAAAUGCAACCAAAGCAACAAAAGGUGACUUGAGAAACUAUGAAGAUGGAGGGGAAGAAAUGCAACAAAGCUCCAGUUCAACAGCAACCGAAAGAUGCAGUGCUGCUGGACAAUUGCUGGAUUCCAAAUCUGAUCAUGUUCCUGAUGUAGAAAUGGGAGGAUCAACUACAAGAAUCAAUUUCCGAAACAUGACACACGGUGGACGCGGUGAGGCUGUUACUGAAUAUGGGUUAUUG
rnacentral:misc_RNA from 1 species